rnacentral:rRNA from 1 species
AACUCUCUCGCGUYUUAUUCACUUAGGACAACGGAGGGGACGCCUUGGAGUUGGAGAGGUAAACCCUUCACGGGGUUCCAUCCGAUCUAGCUCCGUCGGGCGUCCUGUAAUCCUCCCAGCAAUGGGAGGGUCAGGCGUUUGCCGUACAGCCGUUGUAGAUUUGCAGGCGAAAGGGAAUCUGGUAC